GGGGUGCUCGAGUGGCGAACGGGUGAGUAACACGUGAGUAACCUGCCCUUGACUUUGGGAUAACUUCAGGAAACUGGGGCUAAUACCGGAUAGGAGCUCCUGCUGCAUGGUGGGGGUUGGAAAGUUUCGGCGGUUGGGGAUGGACUCGCGGCUUAUCAGCUUGUUGGUGGGGUAGUGGCUUACCAAGGCUUUGACGGGUAGCCGGCCUGAGAGGGUGACCGGCCACAUUGGGACUGAGAUACGGCCCAC
rnacentral:rRNA from 1 species